GACUGGGCUAACUCCGGGAAACCGGAGCUAAUACCGGAUAGUAUCUUGAACCGCAUGGUUCAAGUUGGAAAGACGGUUUCGGCUGUCACUUACAGAUGGGCCCGCGGCGCAUUAGCUAGUUGGUGAGGUAAUGGCUCACCAAGGCAACGAUGCGUAGCCGACCUGAGAGGGUGAUCGGCCACACUGGGACUGAGACACGGCCCAGACUCCUACGGGAGGCAGCAGUAGGGAAUCUUCCGCAAUGGACGAAAGUCUGACGGAGCAACGCCGCGUGAGUGAUGAAGGUUUUCGGAUCGUAAAACUCUGUUGUUAGGGAAGAACAAGUGCGAGAGUAACUGCUCGCACCUUGACGGUACCUAACCAGAAAGCCACGGCUAACUACGUGCCAGCAGCCGCGGUAAUACGUAGGUGGCAAGCGUUGUCCGGAAUUAUUGGGCGUAAAGCGCGCGCAGGCGGUUUCUUAAGUCUGAUGUGAAAGCCCCCGGCUCAACCGGGGAGGGUCAUUGGAAACUGGGAAACUUGAGUGCAGAAGAGGAGAGUGGAAUUCCACGUGUAGCGGUGAAAUGCGUAGAGAUGUGGAGGAACACCAGUGGCGAAGGCGACUCUCUGGUCUGUAACUGACGCUGAGGCGCGAAAGCGUGGGGAGCGAACAGGAUUAGAUACCCUGGUAGUCCACGCCGUAAACGAUGAGUGCUAAGUGUUAGAGGGUUUCCGCCCUUUAGUGCUGCAGCUAACGCAUUAAGCACUCCGCCUGGGGAGUACGGUCGCAAGACUGAAACUCAAAGGAAUUGACGGGGGCCCGCACAAGCGGUGGAGCAUGUGGUUUAAUUCGAAGCAACGCGAAGAACCUUACCAGGUCUUGACAUCCUUUGCCACUUCUAGAGAUAGAAGGUUCCCCUUCGGGGGACAAAGUGACAGGUGGUGCAUGGUUGUCGUCAGCUCGUGUCGUGAGAUGUUGGGUUAAGUCCCGCAACGAGCGCAACCCUUGAUCUUAGUUGCCAGCAUUCAGUUGGGCACUCUAAGGUGACUGCCGGUGACAAACCGGAGGAAGGUGGGGAUGACGUCAAAUCAUCAUGCCCCUUAUGACCUGGGCUACUCACGUGCUACAAUGGAUGGUACAAAGGGCGGCGAGACCGCGAGGUUUAGCCAAUCCCAUAAA
rnacentral:rRNA from 2 species